UACGUAGGGGGCAAGCGUUGUCCGGAUUUAUUGGGCGUAAAGAGCGUGUAGGCGGCCAGGUAGGUCCGCUGUGAAAACUCGAGGCUCAACCUCGAGAUGUCGGCGGAAACCAUCUGGCUAGAGUCCGGAAGAGGAGUGUGGAAUUCCUGGUGUAGCGGUGAAAUGCGCAGAUAUCAGGAAGAACACCCGUGGCUAAGGCGGCUCUCUAGUACGGUACUGACGCUGAGACGCGAAAGCGUGGGGAGCGAACAGG
rnacentral:rRNA from 1 species